GCUGUGAUGGCCGAGUGGUUAAGGCGUUGGACUCGAAAUCCAAUGGGAUCUUCCCGCGCAGGUUCGAACGCUGCUCGCAGCG
rnacentral:tRNA from 1 species